UUUCAUGGUGACGUCAGCUGAGAUGCGUCAGUGGAUUGGAUUGCCUAUAAAUGGAACAGUACUCUGUACUGUUACACUUGAUUGACUGAGUGGAUUCUUCUUCUUCAGUCCAAUCCUUUCAUCUUGUGCAACCAACCUUGGGGUAUCAGGCUGAGGGGGAGCAUAGUAUUGUAAGCAUGCUUGUAAUCUUUUGAUUUUCAUUGUAAUCAUUCGACUCAAAGUAAAACAAGUGUUUAAACAUACUAUUCUCUUCUAUGUUUAUUUGUAUAGAUCAGUAGUUAGAGUUUGUUAGGUUGUUAGAUGUCACUUUCAUGGUGACGUCAGCUGAGAUGCGUCAGUGGAUUGGAUUGCCUAUAAAUGGAACAGUACUCUGUACUGUUACACUUGAUUGACUGAGUGGAUUCUUCUUCUUCAGUCCAAUCCUUUCAUCUUGUGCAACCAACCUUGGGGUAUCAGGCUGAGGGGGAGCAUAGUAUUGUAAGCAUGCUUGUAAUCUUUUGAUUUUCAUUGUAAUCAUUCGACUCAAAGUAAAACAAGUGUUUAAACAUACUAUUCUCUUCUAUGUUUGUGUUUACAAAGUUUGUAUCCAUU
rnacentral:lncRNA from 1 species